UACGUAGGUGACAAGCGUUGUCCGGAUUUACUGGGCGUAAAGAGCGCGCAGGCGGUCGUUCAAGUCGAGUGUGAAAGCCCCCGGCUCAACUGGGGAGGGUCACUCGAUACUGAUCGACUCGAAGGCAGGAGAGGGUAGUGGAAUUCCCGGUGUAGUGGUGAAAUGCGUAGAUAUCAGGAGGAACACCGAUGGCGAAGGCGGGUGCUGGGCCGACACUGACGCUGAGGCGCGAAAGCUAGGGGAGCGAACGGG
rnacentral:rRNA from 1 species